rnacentral:misc_RNA from 1 species
AUCACCUUGGCCUGAAUCUGCUGAUAACCUUUUCACUGCUACUUCUUGUCCAUUUUGAAGCUUACCCUUGUAUACAGGACCAAAUCCGCCUUCUCCGAGCUUAUUAGCAUCUGAGAAGUCAUCUGUUGCUGCUCUAAUUGCCGAAAAAGCAUAUUGAAAAGAUUCUGCAAUACUAGUAUCAUCCACAGAUGUACUCUGAAUUUCCUUCACCAUCUUCCUCUUUCGCCUCCUUAUCAAGAUGACAGCAAUACAAAUCAUAAGAAUAACAAUUGUAACAGUUGACACAACGAUUAUGAUGAUUGUUCGUGAUGUUUUAUCAUCCUUCCCUGUUGGAGGUGU